GAAUCAAAGUUUGAAUUAUACACACGUUUUUGGUGUUUGUGUGAGAGCAAUUGUUGAUUUGUAGAGUAUUUAUUUUACAGCAAAGGACCAAUUCUAAUGGCCCCUAAUGAGUGAUUGAUGCAUUUAACUUGCAAAUGUUUGUACUACACAAUUUCUAAUGUUUUCCAGCCAAAAAGUGCUUGAAACAUGCCUGUAAUAGUUUUGGUUUUGUGUCUAACCAAAAAUUUUUUUGUUUUCCAAUUCUUUUGUAGGGUUUUUGUUUCUUAAUGUGGGAGACAAUAAUGGGAAAUAAAUUAAAUUUUUUUUUUUGU
rnacentral:misc_RNA from 1 species